rnacentral:misc_RNA from 1 species
UGGUUCCUUGCUCUCAGCCAAAUCAACCCUGCCGCCUAUCGCGAUGACCUCGUUCAACUGAGAAUUCGCUUGACCAACAUGACAGAGCUGCUUGAGGAAAAAUGGGAAGGCUUUCUCAACGAUGACGGGCAGCUAGACGCACGGCAACGCGCUAUUACGGCAGAGCUUCGCGAGAUGUUCUUGGGCAUGGCAAAAAAGGUCGAUGAGGAUCGCCGGUUAAUGUACGAGAAAAUGCAAAAGGCGGCUGAAGCCGCCAAGAGUGAGCAAUUUGGCCAAUUCCUUCCAGGCCCGCUUGGUGAUGUCGUAAGCAUGGGUGCCGAACUCGCGCAACAGUACUUUGCCUAUAAAGCUGCGCUCGAGAGCGCGAAAGUGCAACUCGAGGAGUUAGCCGGAGAUGAGCUCGUGCUCCUCGUCGGUUUUACCGACACCCGUAGGGACACACAGCUGUUCGUCAACGAAAACGGCUUCGAGAUCAUGAAAGAACU